rnacentral:rRNA from 1 species
GGACGAACGCUGGCGGCGUGCCUAAUCCAUGCAAGUCGAGCGAGUCUGCCUUGAAGAUCGGAGUGCUUGCACUCUGUGAAACAAGAUACAGGCUAGCGGCGGACGGGUGAGUAACACGUGGGUAACCUGCCCAAGAGAUCGGGAUAACACCUGGAAACAGAUGCUAAUACCGGAUAACAACAGAUGAUGCCUAUCAACUGUUUAAAAGAUGGUUCUGCUAUCACUCUUGGAUGGACCUGCGGUGCAUUAGCUAGUUGGUAGGGUAACGGCCUACCAAGGCGAUGAUGCAUAGCCGAGUUGAGAGACUGAUCGGCCACAUUGGGACUGAGACACGGCCCAAACUCCUACGGGAGGCAGCAGUAGGGAAUCUUCCACAAUGGACGCAAGUCUGAUGGAGCAACGCCGCGUGAGUGAAGAAGGGUUUCGGCUCGUAAAGCUCUGUUGUUGGUGAAGAAGGACAGGGGUAGUAACUGACCUUUGUUUGACGGUAAUCAAUUAGAAAGUCACGGCUAACUACGUG